CGGGGUGUAGCGCAGAGGUAGCGCAGUUGCUUUGGGAGCAACAGGUCGCCGGUUCGAUCCCGGCCACCCCGACCA
rnacentral:tRNA from 1 species